UACGUAGGGGGCGAGCGUUGUCCGGAUCAUUGGGCGUAAAGAGCUCGUAGGCGGCUUGGCAAGCCGGGUGUGAAAACUCCAGGCUCAACCUGGAGACGCCACCCGGGACUGCUAUGGCUAGAGUCCGGUAGGGGAUCACGGAAUUCCUGGUGUAGCGGUGAAAUGCGCAGAUAUCAGGAGGAACACCGGUGGCGAAGGCGGUGAUCUGGGCCGGUACUGACGCUGAGGAGCGAAAGCGUGGGUAGCAAACAGG
rnacentral:rRNA from 1 species